rnacentral:lncRNA from 1 species
UGAUUAAAGGGGGCAGGUAUUUAAGAUAAAGCUUUGGAUAUCUUAUUUGCAGUAAGUACUCUGUAGUCAACCUGUGCUUCUAGGUUUUCUGUAACAUUAGGAAAAUUGACACCGGAUAGAGCCUGUUUUUACCUUAAGUAUAUUACAUAUGAGUUUAAGUGUGAGCCAAAGUCAUACACACCAUCUGCAGUUCCAAUUGGUAACCUGAAUUUAGAAGUUCCUCAAUUCCAAGUCUCCUUAACAGUGAGCAAAAACAGGUUAAAUUUAUUUGAACAACUUGCUAUCAUAAAUUACACCAUCUGAGCUGAUUUGUGUGUGUUCUGGUCCUUAACAAAAGUAUGUAAUAUACUUAAUUUAAAAACGAAUGACUUCUAGAUGUGAAAACUUGACAUUUUAAAAGGCUGUGAAUUUUUCUCCUUGGAGGGAGAUCCCACCUUGGCUGCUUUGAGGGCUUGUGAAUCCUUUCCCCCUCCACUUGAGGAAGAGUGGUCUGUGCUGUGAUCAGGAUCUAGGGAAAGUGAAUGGAAAGAGUUACUUUUGUUUGUUUGUGCAAAUUAUUUUCUCUAACUCUUAAGCAAGCAUUAAUGUAUAACUGAAAAUUUUAAGAUGCAUGUUAUUGUAAGAGCAACAUAGCAGUGAUUUUGAGGUCUUUUUCUGAACACAAAUGGCACAUUUUAAACUUCAAGUCUUCAAAGUGCCUACAGAUUAUUUAAUUCUCCCUCAACUGAUUUCUUGAGCCAUAUAUAUAUUUCCCACUUUAAAUGUUUGUUGCAGAAUCACUAGUCUUCCUUUCAGAGAAGU